rnacentral:rRNA from 1 species
AAACUAACAAGGAUUCCCCUAGUAACGGCGAGUGAACCGGGAAGAGCUCAAAUUUGAAAUCUGGCGUGCUCAGUGCGUCCGAGUUGUAAUCUAUAGAGUCGUUUUCCGUGCCGGACUGUGUCCAAGUCCCUUGGAACAGGGUAUCAAAGAGGGUGAUAAUCCCGUACUUGACACAAUGACCGGUGCUCUGUGAUACGUCUUCUACGAGUCGAGUUGUUUGGGAAUGCAGCUCAAAAUGGGUGGUGAGUUCCAUCUAAAGCUAAAUAUUGGCGAGAGACCGAUAGCGAACAAGUACCGUGAGGGAAAGAUGAAAAGCAACUUUGGAAAGAGAGUUAAACAGUACGUGAAAUUGUUAAAAGGGAAACGAUUGAAGUCAGUCGUGACUGAGAGGCUCAGCCGGUUCUGCGCGGUGUAUUCCCCUCAGUCGGGUCAACAUCAGUUUUGUUCGGUGGAUAAGGGCAGUUGGAAGGUGGCACCCUCGGGUGUGUUAUAGCCAGCUGUCGCAUACAUCGGAUGAAACUGAGGAAUGCAGCUCGCCAAUAUGGCCGGGGUUCGCCCCACGACGAGCUUAGGUAUGUUUCA